ensembl:ncRNA lncRNA:CR44916 long non-coding RNA:CR44916
AUUAUUUCCUAGAGUAUAUAAGCGUUGGCAAAAAGGAAUCUUAAAGGAAGCUUGCCCCUUUUUAAUUAGGGAAGCGAAAGGACAAAGAUGCGUUAGGACAGCCGCAGCGUGCGGACAAACAAAAGAUAUCAAGAAUUUCAUUUCUUGGCGGCCGUGGAGGCGGCAAUUGAAGUGAGGAGCUGUAGCUAAGAAGAGGAUGGCCAAAAGACGACAACAGCCAACACUGGAAGAGUUGGGGGAGACACAACGCAUUUGGCUAACAUAAAGAAAAUGCCAGUGAAUUAGCGGGCAGUCAGAGAUGGAGGAGAGGUUUGAAUUGCCCAUGUUCUAAGUUGGCUCACAUUCCUUUUCUGUCCCAGCGUCUUAUUUUUUCCUUUUUGUCAUGAUGCGCUUUAAAAUUCCGCUGAUAACAGCUAGCGGCGACAGAGUUCCAGGACCAAGGAGCAGCAGAUGGCGUCAGUGUCAGCGGCAAGCAUAAGAAAUGUGUCCCAAGCAAUUAGUGUUCCGGCCUUUGGAGCGGAUUCCACUUUCAUUAUGUGGGUUUUUUAAAUUUAACAACUUUGUAAACAAAAGCUAAUCGAUCAAGGGUUUUUAAAAUAAAUUAAACAAGUAAAUGUGAGUUUU